UACGUAGGGUCCGAGCGUUGUCCGGAAUUAUUGGGCGUAAAGGGCUCGUAGGCGGUUUGUCGCGUCGGGAGUGAAAACUCAGGGCUCAACCCUGAGCGUGCUUCCGAUACGGGCAGACUAGAGGUAUGCAGGGGAGAACGGAAUUCCUGGUGUAGCGGUGGAAUGCGCAGAUAUCUGGAGGAACACCGGUGGCGAAGGCGGCAUCCUGGACCAACACUGACGCUGAGGAGCGAAAGCCAGGGGAGCAAACGGG
rnacentral:rRNA from 1 species